CUCUGUGACUCCUACGGGAGGCAGCAGUGGGGAAUAUUGCACAAUGGGCGCAAGCCUGAUGCAGCCAUGCCGCGUGUGUGAAGAAGGCCUUCGGGUUGUAAAGCACUUUCAGUUGUGAGGAAGGUGGUGUCGUUAAUAGCGGCAUCAUUUGACGUUAGCAACAGAAGAAGCACCGGCUAACUCCGUGCCAGCAGCCGCGGUAAUACGGAGGGUGCGAGCGUUAAUCGGAAUUACUGGGCGUAAAGCGCAUGCAGGUGGUUUGUUAAGUCAGAUGUGAAAGCCCGGGGCUCAACCUCGGAACUGCAUUUGAAACUGGCAGACUAGAGUACUGUAGAGGGGGUAGAAUUUCAGGUGUAGCGGUGAAAAUGCGUAGAGAUCUGAAGGAAUACCGGUGGCGAAGGCGGCCCCCUGGACAGAUACUGACACUCAGAUGCGAAAGCGUGGGGAGCAAACAGGAUUAGAUACCCUGGUAG
rnacentral:rRNA from 1 species